UCAUUUUCUUCCGUUAUUCAAGAAUUCAUAUAUAACCUAACUUUUUGUUCUCUUUCGAAUUUUGCUUUUACCAUUUUUCUCAUAAUCUUGAAAUAUUUUUCAUCCUCUUAAAAUGUCGUUUUUGCUUUGAGAAAUGUCUCUAGACCGAGAAAUCUCUUAACCUAAAUUUACUAUUUCCUUCCCAUUUGUCAUUAAACGGAGUUUUUAUCUUUACUACAUCUUCUUAGAUACAUAUAAAU
rnacentral:lncRNA from 1 species